rnacentral:lncRNA from 1 species
GUGUCCGCCAUCUUGGGGCGACGGCCAGAAGUCCAGGGCUAGGAGCCUCAGCCGGCGGACGCCAGGAAACAGCCAAGAACUGAACCAAAAUACAAACAACAUAAACUACCACUUGAUGAGAAGAACUUCAAAGUCAAAUUGCAAAAGGUGACUAAAAAAGGGGAGUACUUUCAGCCGUUUUCAAAAUAAUCUAUGAUAUGUACUGGAAAACUUCUAAUAAUCCUUGUCAUUUUACAACUUUCCCACAGUUAGAUCAUCAGCAAAUGUCACUUGGAUCCCUAGCUAAAUUGUUCUUCCCAGAAAAUAGUUAUCUCCACUAUGGAAAGUAUUUUAUCAGAAGAAUUCGUAGAAGUAGAAUCUGUUUGUCUUCAGUUAAACAAAAGAAGAACCUCAUUGCUUUCCAACUGGGCCCCGGCCAUUUUCCAGUUGAAACAUCAAAUAUUUUAUUUGUGUCUUUCACUGCCAAUUAAAGGGCAACAGAAAUGGUACAGGCUCCCUCUGCAGUGGAAUUACCCUUAUGUCUUUUCUGUCUAUGCUGAUCCACCUGAUCUUGAACUGGUGCUAUUCCAUGGGGAAAAUUGGAACAUGGGGCAAUUAACACUUUCUCCACUUUAUCCCAUCAACAGGAAAUUGAAAUAUAACCAACUAACUCAGGAGACAUCAUGGAAGAUGUCACACAGUGAAUGAUGAUGAAGCAGAAUUUUUAAAAUGUGUAGGAUUACGAGAAGUGGGGUCAUUUUUCUUUGUGUAUGGUAUUGCUGAUGCAGUUUAAUGCUCCAUUACUUCUAAAUUUUCAUCAUAAGCUAGAUUUUCCAGUUGUGGUUUCUAUAAAGAAAAACAAACAUUCUGAAGACAGUUUUUCCAGAUUUAUUCCAGAUAUCGAUGAUUAACUUUUGAAGCACUCAUUAGGUGAAUAAACAAUAUUCCCUAUACCUAUAGAGUGGAAUACCACCCAGCAUCCUCUCACAUACAAAGAAAGAACAAAUUGCUGAUAGACACAGAUGUCCAUCAAUCUCAAAAGUCGUCAUGAAACCUCUGGAAGAAUUGAGCUGGUCGACUAUGCAAACAGUUGUCAAGAGCCUAUAAAAUAUGCAGCAUAAAAUUUUUCCUUUGUAGUCAAACCUGAUUAUUCCUCUUAGAUACUGGGAACAGAAUUUCACAGUCGUCAGAGAAUAUACCUUUUGUAUUUUCGUAUUAAAUAUGUACUCCUAUUACUUAACAAUUGUAGUUUAACUCCUUUUUUAGGUAAAAUUCUAAUUUUUCUCUUCUGUUAAAAAUUUCCAGUUCCAACACGAAGAUAAUAAAGAAUAUUAAUUUUAUCC